UAGUGACGAAAAAUAACGAUACGGGACUCAUCCGAGGCCCCGUAAUCGGAAUGAGUACACUCUAAACCCUUUAACGAGUAUCCAUUGGAGGGCAAGUCUGGUGCCAGCAGCCGCGGUAAUUCCAGCUCCAAUAGCGUAUAUUAAAGUUGUUGCGGUUAAAAAGCUCGUAGUUGGACUUGUGUCCCACGCUGUCGGUUCACCGUUNGUCGGUGUUUAACUGGCAUGCUCGUGCGGACGUCCUGCCGGUGGAUGCGGCCGGCCGCGGGCCUCUGGUCUGCGUGUCGGCGGUCCGAUGCAAUCCUACCGCGGUGCUCUUCACCGAGUGUCGAGGUGGGCCGGCACGUUUACUUUGAACAAAUUAGAGUGCUCAAAGCAGGCAGUGGUUCGCCUGAAUAUUGUGUGCAUGGAAUAAUGGAAUAGGACCUCGGUUCUAUUUUGUUGGUUUUUCGGAACCUGAGGUAAUGAUUAAUAGGGACAGACGGGGGCAUUCGUAUUGCGACGUUAGAGGUGAAAUUCUUGGAUCGUCGCAAGACGAACCUAAGCGAAAGCAUUUGCCAUGAGUGUUUUCAUUAAUCAAGAACGAAAGUUAGAGGUUCGAAGGCGAUCAGAUACCGCCCUAGUUCUAACCAUAAACGAUGCCAGCUAGCGAUCCCGCCGAAGUUCCUCCGAUGACUCGGCGGGCAGCUUCCGGGAAACCAAAGCUUUUGGGUUCC
rnacentral:rRNA from 1 species